ACGAGAUGGCGGAAGGUGGAGGCUGCCGUGAGCGACCGGAUGCGGAGACUCAGAAGUCCGAGCUUGGAGCCUUAAUGAGGACCACACUCCAACGCGGGGCGCAGUGAUCCUGAGAGUCAGACCUUGAAAGAACACUUAAUUGAUGAAUUGGACUACGUAUUGGUCCCCACCGAGGCCUGGAAUAAACUACUAAACUGGUACGGCUGUGUAGAAGGCCAGCAACCCAUCGUCAGAAAAUGCUUGAGCAACACUGCACCACUGACUGACUACUUUCUCAAAGAUGAGUAUGAAGCCGAAAUCAACAGAGACAACCCUCUGGGGAUGAAAGGGGAAAUUGCAGAAGCCUAUGCCGAACUCAUUAAGCAGAUGUGGUCUGGAAGGGACGCCCAUGUGGCACCUCGCAUGUUCAAAACUCAAGUGGGACGUUUUGCUCCUCAAUUUUCUGGCUACCAGCAACAAGAUUCUCAGGAGCUGCUGGCCUUUCUUCUAGAUGGAUUGCAUGAAGAUCUGAACCGAGUAAAGAAAAAGCCCUACUUGGAGCUGAAGGAUGCCAAUGGGCGGCCAGACGUGUACCGUGUGACUGUGCCGCUGAUGGGGGCUGUGUCCGACCUGUGCGAGGCUCUCUCCAGGCUGUCUGGCAUUGCUGCAGAAAAUAUGGUGGUCGCAGAUGUGUAUAAUCACCGAUUCCACAAAAUUUUCCAAAUGGAUGAAGGUUUAAACCACAUCAUGCCUCGGGAUGACAUUUUCGU
rnacentral:sRNA from 1 species